rnacentral:lncRNA from 1 species
AUUGACUUAGGAGAAAACAAUCGAUUCUACACCGUCAUUUUCUUAAACUACCAGAUUUAGCUCUAGGAGCCGUAGUUUGUUUGUAUCGCCGCAGUUUGUGGGCGGUGGAUACUCAGAAUAGUGUAGAAUGCAUUUACGCUCGUGCUGGGAUGCCGAGUUUAUUUGUACAGUAGUGUAUAGACUGUACCAGACUGUCAGGUGCCGUUGUGGUUGAUAGUGGACCCAGAUUGCUAUUUUUGCAUCUGAUUGUGCCGAGGGCACGUUGAUUAUGGUUGUUAGAC